AAAUGAAACUUCCUGCCCAGCAGUGAGCAUGAAGUUCUAGGGUGCUUGGUGAAAAGUAGAAAGAAUUCUUCAACUCUCUUAAUUGAAGUGAGAUCUUCUGAGAGACCCCCGUCUCUUCAAAAUGCCAAGAGAAGGAGAUUAGACACCAAUGGUGAUGCACAGAAGUACAAAGGGAAGAAGCUUGAGGUGAGGUGUGAUCUCACAAAAUGUUGCAAUUGCAUUCACGAGCAAACAGCAGAGGAGGACAGUGAGACAGUUAAAAGCAGAAGAAUGAACAACCAUCAGCUACUCUGUUCAGCAGCUGCUGUUUCUAAGGAAGCUGAUUAGAAACUGACAUGUGAUUUCUUAUUUAAAACUGUGAUUAGUUUGCUUCCUGCUCCGUUGUUGACUGGAUGGAAAAUAUGCCAGACUUUUCCUUCAGAUUGGGAGAGACACUGUUCAGAUGAUGAACUUCUUGAUACAAAGAGGAAACUGGAUUUCAAUUUGAAAGGUGGCUUUUCUCUCCAAGAUGCCUUAAAAUAAACAAACAAACAAACAACAACAACAACAACAAACUGGACUGCAUAAAAGUAGGCAUGUAACAUCCAUCACUGGGCUCAGGAUAUGCUCAUUCAUUACACUGCCACAUCUGCAUGCAGGUUCUGGAUGCCUUCUGUAGGAUCCAUUUCGUGCCAGCAGGAUGAGUUAAUCGAUUUGAGCUGCUGGAAAAUGAAUCAGUUUCACUUAGUGACCACAGAAUUGCUUGAUCUAAUGGAGAGGAAGAAAACCAGCCUUGAGAGAGAGGUGACCUUAGUCUGAUGGUUAGGGCAUUUAGGUGGGUGGCAGCAGGCAUUAUUAAAUUAUUAAAUUCCAGCUCAAAAGUAGGUGGGACAGGAUUUAUUGUAACUUGUCUCAGCUACAUUGUAAGGUUGUUUUGCUACUAGGGCAUUGUGUGUAAGGUGAGCGUGUUACAGUCACCCUCUAGUCACUUUCUCUAAGGGUGGAUAGGGAGGUGUACACCAAGCAUUCCUGCUUUGUGGCUUUGGUCAGGAAGCCUGGGUGAGAAGAUUCUUUCUGUAAGAGUAAUGGCAGGGUUCAGAGAAGGGCUGUUUCACAGCAGCUCUGUGUUAUGACAUACUUGUAACCUCAGUGUCUGGUUGCCAGCAGAAAUUAAAACAUAGACUUCACGUGCACCUACAGUUUGAUGGCAUUUCACCAGGUACAUUGGGAAUCUGAGAGAUUUUGUCAGUGUUGCAAGUUCCUCAGAAUUCAGUGAUGUGUUUCAUGCAGUUCCAUCAGUGUAAGUUUUAAGACGUGACCAUGAGUGGAAAGGCUGUCAGGAAUAUUCUGUGAUAAACAAGAGAAUAUUUUUUUUCCUUUGGAUCAGUUGAGAAUAACGCACAAGGACAUGAAGAAAGGGAAUUGGUGGAAAUAGUAGUAGUAUCAAAUACCAGAAUCUGUAACAAUUCAGUAUAAUAAAGCCUGCAGUAUAAGUGCCUGCAGAAAUGUAUACGGUAGAUGCUUGCUUUACACUGCCACCCUCAUGCAGAGAUUUUUGCUUAAGAAAUGCCACCUUUAGUUUGUGUCAGGAAUAUGAAAUGACCCUGUCCUAUGAAAGACUUACAAAUAUUUGGCAUUUUGAAUCUUUCAUCAGCUAUCUCUCUUGACCUUGUUUGCCCUGUUGUAGACUAAUAAAUAG
ensembl:lncRNA